UGCUAACUAUACCUGACAAGCCAUAAUGUAC
rnacentral:piRNA from 2 species